rnacentral:misc_RNA from 1 species
GAUGAAGAACGUAGCGAAAUGCGAUACGUAAUGUGAAUUGCAGAAUUCAGUGAAUCAUCGAAUCUUUGAACGCACAUUGCGCCCGCCAGCACUCUGGCGGACAUGCCUGUUCGAGCGUCAUUUCAACCCUCAGAACCCCUUUGGGGGAUCUGGCGUUGGGGAUCGGCAGUCCUGCCGGCCCCGAAAUAUAGUGGCGGUCUCUCUGUGACCUUCCCUGUGUAGUAGCGAUACCUCGCAGCGGGAUAGCAGUUUGGCCACGCCGUAAAACACCCAACUUCUCAAGGUUGACCUCGAAUCAGGUAGGAAUACCCGCUGAACUUAAGCAUAUCAAUAAGCGGAGGA